CCUACGGGUGGCAGCAGUGAGGAAUAUUGGUCAAUGGACGAGAGUCUGAACCAGCCAAGUAGCGUGAAGGAUGACUGCCCUAUGGGUUGUAAACUUCUUUUAUAUGGGAAUAAAACGUUCCACGUGUGGGAUUUUGUAUGUACCAUAUGAAUAAGGAUCGGCUAACUCCGUGCCAGCAGCCGCGGUAAUACGGAGGUUCCGAGCGUUAUCCGGAUUUAUUGGGUUUAAAGGGAGCGUAGGUGGAUUGUUAAGUCAGUUGUGAAAGUUUGCGGCUCAACCGUAAAAUUGCAGUUGAAACUGGCAGUCUUGAGUACAGUAGAGGUGGGCGGAAUUCGUGGUGUAGCGGUGAAAUGCUUAGAUAUCACGAAGAACUCCGAUUGCGAAGGCAGUUCACUGGACUGCAACUGACACUGAGGCUCGAAAGUGUGGGUAUCAAACAGGAUUAGAUACCCCAGUAGUC
rnacentral:rRNA from 1 species